rnacentral:tRNA from 1 species
AGUACGUUGGCAGAUUAGUGCAGAUUAUUUAGGGUAAUCAUAUGGGCAACCACGUACUA